AGGAUCUGAGGUUGGAACAGGCAGCCAGCGCCCCGUGUUAUCAUGGUUAGGAGAUCCGGGAGUGUCACCCCGGCUAUCCU
rnacentral:ncRNA from 1 species